rnacentral:tRNA from 1 species
GCGAGCGUAGCACAGUUGGUAGUGCGCCACCUUGCCAAGGUGGAGGUCGCC